GUUCCAAAGUCAGAGAGCAGUCUUUCGCGUAUUCUUAAGCGCGUGUACUGAGUUGUUCGGAUUAGGUAACGAGUUUUACGUGAUGUGACAUUUCUAUGAUCACAAACAAUUCAAAAAUGUAUUUACAAAGUUUCUUCGCUUCGUGCUUCUGGACUUUAUUAACAAUCUCAGCAGUUACAGCUAGGAUACAUAAACUUGAAAUACGGAAAGAUACUAGGCGAUAUAUUUCUCUCAGUACCUUUGGUUUUUAUAAGUAUGGUAUUCUAAACGUCAGUCUUACAAAUUUCAAUGCCGAUCCUUUUGAUAAAAAUGCAGUGUUUGGAUUCAGUUUAGACCGGACACUCAGCGAUGCAGUGAAUUCUUAUUUAGAUAGUCAUCAAGAAAGAUGCGUGCUUCAAAACCUAUCCAAUCCCAAAACAGAGUUAGAGAAGAAGGAUGACAGUGCUGUCAUAUACUUUAUAAUGGACUUAAAUAAUUUGUCUUUGAAGAUAAAUUGCAGUCGUAAUAUACAGUCUGUUCUUAUAUACAAAGAUUCCAGUUUAAUGUCAAAUUUCAGAAUGAAAAGAAAUUCAUUGCCAACAAAAUUUAGUGAUACGGCUCUAUUUCCUAGAAGGAAACGUAACACAUCUAUACACGAUAACUCGUUAGAAAAUCCUGUUAAAAAAGAGAAGCAUAUUUUCCAACCAGAUUUAAUAAAUACUUGUGAUCGUUUAACAUCGCUACCGAUGACUAUGGAAACUAUUAAGGGCAAAACAUAUUAUAACACAAGCUUUGCUAUGUACGUAGGUGAUGAAGAAGAAGAAGGUCUUUACAAUCUUUAUUUUCAUAAUUGUCCUAAUUAUAAGGGUAAUACUCAAGUUGCCUUAGAUUUUACGAUACGAAUAGCUGAAAUCAAUCGUGGAAAUUUUCUUAGUGCCGGAGAAAUGCCUCUACCAGCUUUGUACUUUAUGAUGGCUUUCUUAUUCCUCUUCUCUGGGUGCUUCUGGGUCUUCAUACUUAAGAAGAGCAAGCAUCCCGUCUUUAAAAUUCAUUACUUAAUGACAGUACUGGUAUUUCUGAAGUCUUUAUCUUUACUAUUCCACGGCAUCAAUUAUCAUUUUAUACAAACAAAAGGUGAACACGUGGCAGCGUGGGCAAUAUUGUAUUAUAUCACGCACCUGUUAAAGGGUGCUGUACUAUUCAUUACUAUCGUCCUUGUUGGCACAGGAUGGACAUUCAUUAAACAUAUUUUAGCGGACAAAGAUAAAAAGCUUUUUAUGAUCGUCAUUCCAUUGCAGGUAUUAGCAAAUGUUGCGGAAAUAAUAAUAGAAGAAGGUGAAGAAGGUGAUAUAGAGAAUCAAACUUGGCGGGACGUUUUUAUUCUCGUAGAUUUGCUUUGUUGCGGUGCUAUUUCAUUCCCUAUAGUAUGGAGUAUCAGACAUUUACAAGAAGCUGCUCACACGGAUGGCAAAGCGGCUGUCAAUUUAAGGAAACUUAAACUUUUUCGACAUUUUUAUAUCAUGAUACUUGGUUAUAUAUAUUUUACCAGAUUUAUAGCGUACUUACUUAAGAGUACAGUACCCUUCCAAUACGAAUGGUUGCACGAAAUGUCUCGUGAGAUAGCAACGUAUGUUUUCUUCAUUUUAACGGGCUACAAGUUCCGACCAGCUUCCGCGAAUCCUUAUUUUACAUUAACAACCGAUGAAGUUGAUCAAGGUGAAGAUGACGAUGAAAUGGACAUUGUCCUUUUUUCUAGCGUUAGCGGUGGCAGCGGACUUACCGAGAAUCUCAGUAAAGUUAGCAAAGUCUCCAAAGUGGUGAGGCCAACGACCUCGGAGGUUCCAUCUACUCAAGAAGAAAGAGACAGUCUUUUUAACAAAAAAGAUUCUACUCAGGAAUAUGACUGAACACAAAAACUAUACGUAAUAGGUCCAUUUUGGGUAUGCUCCAAGUGUAUAACGAUUUUGUAAAUAAUAACGGAAAAGGAGAUUAAUUCAUGAAACCAGCAAGGAUUAGAGUUUAUUAUUCACAGUUUCACAAUUUUAUAAUAGAAUUUUGUGAAACUUUCUCUAAGCAUUUAGACAAUUAUUUCGAUUAAUUUUUUUUCGCGACACGCUUAAAAAUUUUUUAAACACUCCUGCAGAAAGCUUAGGUAUGUUGUGAUAGGCGAUCCACGCCCGUGUUCUUAUUCGUCAUUUAUCUAUCGCAAUUCAAUUUUUUUUCUAUUCGCACUUUGUAAUUCUUCUAGUUAGAAAAAAUAAUUGUUAUGAAUAUUGAGAAAUAAUUGGAAACUUGAAAUAUUUCCUGUCGACGAAUUUAUUAUAAUACGUUAUUGCGAAUAAUAUUACUAUUAUUAUACUAUUAUUAUUUAUGCAAUAUAUGUAUCGUAUAUUAGUUUGGACAUUUGUUAUAGCUAAUACACUAUGUUAACAUGUAUUAAGCAGAAAAUGACAGAAAACAUAUUGAAAAAAUAAAACGGAUAUUUUUAUGAAA
rnacentral:misc_RNA from 1 species